rnacentral:sRNA from 1 species
GGGGGUGUACUGGCUUCGAUCUGGGCGUUCAUCGCUCGGGAGAAGCGGGCCGUGAUCCCGGAUGUCACGUUAAACGCCGGACAACACACAAGCGCCAACGAAGAGUACGCGCUCGCUGCCUAAGCGGUAGCCGUCCCCCCCGGGGCGCCUGCGACCGGGGGAUGGGCGUCGUGAGCAGGCUCACUCCGCCGGUUCGGCCUCGGGGCCGGCGGGGAACAUCGCACCGAGGCUGGCCGAAGGGAACUCUGCCGGUGGGAGCCCCGAGGCGAGAUCUCCCCACCUGGCUGCGCCCGGAGAAGUCCCGAGUGGUCGCCGAGAGACGCGGGUUCGAAUCCCGCCACCUCCACCA